GUUUAGAAGAACAGCAAGGAGGCUGACUGGGCUGAAGCAGAGGGAAUGAGGAGAGAAGGAGGAGAUGGAUUCUCGAGGAGUCACACUGGUCAGCAAUGGCCAGAGAAGAAAGGGCUCUGCGGCUCUGGGAGACAGUGUGAAACUUCAACGGUGUGCUGUAAAGAAAUUCAGCUCUAGACUCUGUGAGAGAAUGGAGAAAUGUGAACCCAAACCCAAAAAUGAAAGCACAGAAGAAAGCCCCAACCUCACAUGGGAAUGGGUCCAGCCUGGGAGGCACUGUCUCCCCUGUGAAGCAACAGUAUCACAAGACUGUCAUAUUAUUUUUUACAUUAAUAAUUCUAGAAUUAAAAUAAAUUUUAUGUUCGGGG